UCCCAUAUGGUCUAGUGGUUAGGUUUUGGCGCUUUCACCGCCAAGGCCCGCGUUCAAUUCUCGGUGUGGGAA
rnacentral:tRNA from 1 species